UACGCAGGGUGCUAGCGUUGCUCGGAAUCACUGGGCGUAAAGGGUGCGUAGGCGGGUCUUUAAGUCGGUGGUGAAAUCCUGGAGCUCAACUCCAGAACUGCCUUCGAUACUGAGAGUCUCAGAGUCCGGGAGAGGUGAGUGGAACUCCGAGUGUAGAGGUGAAAUUCGUAGAUAUUCGGAAGAACACCAGUGGCGAAGGCGGCUCACUGGCCCGGUACUGACGCUGAGGUGCGAAAGCGUGGGGAGCAAACAGG
rnacentral:rRNA from 1 species